GACGAACGCUGGCGGCGCGCUUAACACAUGCAAGUCGAGCGAUGAAAUCUUAACAGAACCCUUCGGGGUGAAGAUAAGACGGAUUAGCGGCGGACGGGUGAGUAACACGUGAGUAACCUGCCUUUUACACAGGGAUAGCCUCAGGAAACCGGGAUUAAAACCUGAUGAAACUAUCAAAUCACAUGAUUAAGAAAGUUAAAACUCCGGUGGUAAAAAAUGGACUCGCGUCCCAUUAGCUAGUUGGUGAAGGUAACGGCCCACCAAGGCAACGAUGGGUAGCCGGCCUGAGAGGGUGAACGGCCACAUUGGAACUGAGAAACGGUCCAAACUCCUACGGGAGGCAGCAGUGGGGAAUAUUGCACAAUGGGGGAAACCCUGAUGCAGCGACGCCGCGUGAGCGAAGAAGGCCUUCGGGUCGUAAAGCUCUUUUAUAUGGGAAGAUAAUGUCGGUACCAUAAGAAAAAGCCCCGGCUAACUACGUG
rnacentral:rRNA from 1 species